GCAGCUUAAGAGAACCUUGUCUAUAUCAUGCCUGCAUCUGGGAGCAGGUCUGAGUUCCCUGAGUGGUCCGGGGACACAUGGAGCCAGCACAGACUCCUCACUGCCCAGGGAACUGGGGACAUGCCUGAAACCUCAAGAUGAACAUAGGGGGUUGUAUCCUGCCUCAGCAUGAGAGGUAGAGGUGAAGGGGUUGGGGUGGCUGGUGAGGGCCUGGUGGCUGGUGAUGAGAUUCAGGCAUGGUCAGGGAGAAGAGAACAAGGCAUGUUGUGUGCGUAUGGGACCAGGGGACCAGUCACCUCACACCCAGGCUUGCUAAGGGGCUGUCAGGACAGGGAAGGGCAUAGAGGAGCCAGCCCUGCGUAUUGGUAAGGGGUCCAGUGGACAAGGGCAGCCUGAUAGACACAGCAGUGACAUCAUAGGCAAAUGCUCCAAUCAGGGAAGCAGGAGGGUCAGCACUUUACAUCACUCACCCCAGGAGCCCCGCCCCAGCCAGCAGCAGUGCUGGGCUCCUGAUGCUGCCAUGGGCUCCAGGCUCCUCUGCUGUGUGACUCUCUGCCUCCUGGGAGCAGGCCUGGUGGAUUCCGAAGUCACCCAGACCCCAAAAUUCCUGACCAAAUCAAGAAAACAGCAAGUGACACUGAGAUGUUCCCCUGAAUCUGGACACCGCUCUGUGUACUGGUUCGCACAAGCCCUGGGCCAGGGCCCCCAGUUCCUCGUUAAGUAUUUUGAUGGAGAAGUGUAUCAAAGAGGAAACAUGUCAGAUCGAUUCUCAGGUCAACAGUUAGGUGACUCUCGCUCGGAGUUGAACUUGACCUCCUUGGAGCUGAUGGACUCCACUCUGUAUCUCUGUGCCAGCAGCCAAGACACAGCCCUGCAUGAUCAGGUGCCUCUGGGACAAAAACUCUCCUGCCCCAGCUCAGGAAGUGGUGGUGAGCGUGUCGGUUGCCAGUGUGCCAAGCUCAGUCUCUGGAAGAGCAAUAGAUUUUCCCAGACAUUCAUUUCUUGAUAUGUUGUAAUGCUCACUAGGAUCAUGCAAAGUAAGUAUUAUUUUAACUGUUUAUAUAUCUGAGGGGAUGUGAAUUGCCCAGAUC